GUAGGGAAUAUUGGUCAAUGGGUGAGAGCCUGAACCAGCCAUGCCGCGUGCAGGAAGACGGCCUUAUGGGUUGUAAACUGCUUUUAACAGGGGCUAAAAGGCCUAUGCGUAGGCGAUUGAAAGUACCUGUUGAAUAAGCCACGGCUAACUACGUGCCAGCAGCCGCGGUAAUACGUAGGUGGCAAGCGUUGUCCGGAUUUAUUGGGUUUAAAGGGUGCGUAGGCGGCCCUGUAAGUCAGUGCUGAAAUAUCCCGGCUUAACCGGGAGGGUGGCAUUGAUACUGCGGGGCUUGAGUACAGAUGAAGUCGGCGGAAUUGACGGUGUAGCGGUGAAAUGCAUAGAUAUCGUCAAGAACACCGAUAGCGAAGGCAGCUGACUAAGUUGUAACUGACGCUGAGGCACGAAAGUGUGGGGAUCAAACAGGAUUAGAUACCCUAGUAGUCC
rnacentral:rRNA from 1 species